rnacentral:rRNA from 1 species
GACGAACGCUGGCGGCGUGCUUAACACAUGCAAGUCGAACGGUGAAGCGCCUUCCUUUUUGGUGGGUGUGGAUGAGUGGCGAACGGGUGAGUAACACGUGAGUAACCUGCCCCCUUCUUCUGGAUAACCGCAUGAAAGUGUGGCUAAUACGGGAUAUUCUGGGUCUGUCGCAUGAUGGGUCUGGGAAAGAUAUUGUUUCGGUGGGGGAUGGGCUCGCGGCCUAUCAGCUUGUUGGUGGGGUGAUGGCCUACCAAGGCGGUGACGGGUAGCCGGCCUGAGAGGGUGGACGGUCACACUGGGACUGAGACACGGCCCAGACUCUACGGGAGGCAGCAGUGGGGAAUAUUGCACAAUGGGCGCAAGCCUGAUGCAGCGACGCCGCGUGAGGGAUGGAGGCCUUCGGGUUGUGAACCUCUUUCGCCAGUGAAGCAGGCCUGCCUCGUUUGUGGGUGGGUUGACGGUAGCUGGAUAAGAAGCGCCGGCUAACUACGUG